GGUGGUGCAGCUCAGUGGCAGAGCACUUGCUCAGCAAGCAACAGGCCUGGGUUCCAUCCCUAGCAAUACAA
rnacentral:tRNA from 1 species